AGAGUUUGAUCCUGGCUCAGAAUGAACGCUGGCGGCAUGGCUAAGACAUGCAAGUCGAACGAACUAUCUUGAAGAGUAAUCGGAUUGAUAGUUAGUGGCGCAAGGGUGAGGAAUAGGUAGGUAACGUACCUCGGGCUCCGGAAUAGCUCAUCGAAAGGUGGGGUAAUGCCGGAUGAUGUCAUCUGUUUAAUUCAGAUGACCAAAGAUUUAUCGGCCCCUGAGCGGCCUAUCUCCUAUCAGCUUGUUGGUGAGGUAACGGCUCACCAAGGCGACGACGGGUAGCGGGACUGAGAGGUUGACCCGCCACAUCGGAACUGAGACACUGUCCGGACCUCCACGGAGGGCUGCAGUAACGAAUAUUGGGCAAUGGGCGAAAGCCUGACCCAGCAAUGCCGCGUGUAGGAUGAAGCUUUUCGGAGUGUAAACUACUUUCAGGGAUUAGAAAGCUACGGUUGAUCAAUCCCAGAAGAAGUCACGGCUAACUUCGUGCCAGCAGCCGCGGUAAUACGAAGGUGGCAAGCGUUAUUCGAAAUCACUGGGCUUAAAGGGCGCGUAGGCGGAUAUGUAAGUGUUAGGUGAAAUCCCUCGGCUUAACCGAGGAAUUGCUUAGCAAACUGCAUAUCUUGAGUCAAGUAGGGGUGUGUGGAACUCUUGGUGGAGCGGUGGAAUGCGUAGAUAUCAAGAGGAACGCCGAAGGUGAAGACAGCACACUGGACUUGUACUGACGCUGAGGCGCGAAAGCGUGGGGAGCGAACAGGAUUAGAUACCCUGGUAGUCCACGCCGUAAACGAUGUAUACUAGGUCGCGGAGGUUCUGACACCGUCGCGGUCGUAGCAAAAGUGUUAAGUAUACCGCCUGGGGAGUACGGUCGCAAGGCUAAAACUCAAAGGAAUUGACGGGGGCUCACACAAGCGGUGGAGCAUGUGGAUUAAUUCGAAGCAACGCGCAGAACCUUACCUGGGUUUGACAUGUAUGGAUGCCUAUCUGGAAACAGAGUCGGCUGCCCUCGGGUGAAACUUACACAGGUGCUGCAUGGCUGUCGUCAGCUCGUGUCGUGAGAUGUCGGGUUAAGUCCUUUAACGAGCGAAACCCUUACCGUUAGUUGCCAGCGCGUCAUGGCGGGGACUCUAGCGGGACUGCCGGUGUUAAACCGGAGGAAGGCGGGGAUGACGUCAAGUCCUCAUGGCCUUUAUGCCCAGGGCUUCACACGUGCUACAAUGGCAGUUACAAAGCGACGCGAUACCGCGAGGUGGAGCAAAUCGCAAAAAAACUGCCCCAGUUCAGAUUGCAGGCUGACAACUCGCCUGCAUGAAGGUGGAAUCGCUAGUAAUCGCGUAUCAGCGAUGACGCGGUGAAUGUGUUCCUGAGCCUUGUACACACCGCCCGUCAAAUCACGGGAGUUGGGAGUACCCGAAGUCGGAUUGCUAACUCGUAAGAGAGGCGUCUGCCGACGGUAAGUCCGAUGACUGGGAUUAAGUCGUAACAAGGUAGCCGUAGGGGAACCUGCGGCUGGAUCACCUCCUU
rnacentral:rRNA from 1 species